GGACCCGCACAAGUAGUGGAGCAUGUGGUUUAAUUCGAAGAUACGCGCAGAACCUUACCAACACUUGACAUGUUCGUCGCGACUUUAAGAGAUUAAAGUUUUCGGUUCGGCCGGACGAAACACAGGUGCUGCAUGGCUGUCGUCAGCUCGUGUCGUGAGAUGUUGGGUUAAGUCCCGCAACGAGCGCAACCCUCACUUUUAGUUGCCAUCAUUUAGUUGGGCACUCUGAAAGAACUGCCAGUGAUAAGCUGGAGGAAGGUGGGGAUGACGUCAAGUCCUCAUGGCCCUUACGUGUUGGGCUACACACGUGCUACAAUGGUACUUACAACAGGAAGCAAAACGGCGACGUUAAGCAAAUCCUUAAAAAGUACCUCAGUUCGGAUUGCACUCUGCAACUCGAGUGCAUGAAGCUGGAAUU
rnacentral:rRNA from 1 species